rnacentral:rRNA from 1 species
GACGAACCGUGCGAACGUUGUUCGGAAUCACUGGGCUUAAAGGGCGCGUAGGCGGGCUGCCGCGUCCGGGGUGAAAUCCCACGGCUCAACCGUGGAACGGCCUCGGAUACGGGCGGCCUCGAGGGGGGUAGGGGCAUCUGGAACUGUGAGUGGAGCGGUGAAAUGCGUUGAUAUUCACAGGAACUCCGGUGGCGAAGGCGAGGUGCUGGACCCCAUCUGACGCUGAGGCGCGAAAGCCAGGGGAGCGAACGGG